UCCUCUUGUUAAUUGGGAGCCCCAGAUACCUCCAAGGGGGCUUCUGUUGAAUUCUGUCUGUCUGGAGUUUGAAUCCUGCAACAAUCAAAACAUUGACAAUUAGAUCAAGCGUGUCCUGCAGUGUAUCAUCACCGGGGGCACACACGAGCACAUCAUCCAUAUAGUGCAGGGUGAUGGCAUUCCUCGCUUUGGCAAGCACUGGGGACAGCAAUGAAGCAACGUACCACUGGCAGAUACUGGGACUGUUCUUCAUGCCUUGUGGAAAAACUUUCCAAGGGUAGCACUACACUGGGGCUUCUCGAUUGAUGGAGGAAACUGGGAAGGCAAACCAUGGGGCAAUGGCAGUGUCAAAGGGGAAUCUGGAAGAAACAAUCUUUUAUAUCAACAACUGACAAAUUCCAAUUUUGGGGGAGUGUCAGCGGGGAGGGCAUUCCUGGCUGAAGAGGCUCCAUGUCUUUAGUGACUUUGUUAACUUCUGUGAGAUCAUGGAGGAGCUGCUAUUUGUCCUUUCCUGGCCCUGGUAACAAUGACCAGGGAAUUCUGAGGGCUAGUGGUUGCCUUUUGCUAACCGGUCCUCUACAAGUUCAUGGAGCCCCUUCAAUUUUUGUUUAUUCAGCAGCCACUGACUUACCCAGACUGGGUGGUCAGUUUUUCAGUCAGCUUCUGCUCAUCAGCAGUCACUGUGAAAGAUCCCAAAGGGUUUUCAGGAUUUUAAUUUUCACUCCCCAUUGAAACAUGGUGUGUCUCCCUCACAGGGCACCCUUAUAGUCUAAAAUGAAUGGGUGCAAACUGGCCAAUUGCCCAUGUGGCCCUUCAGCUGGGACUGUGUCUUUAGGUCAUUUGGGUACUCAGGUCCCCCAAUGCCCUGCACUUUACCCAUCAUGGGUUGCAAGUCCCAAUGUGACUGCCAUCUGGUGAUGGAGAUGAGCAUCACAUCUGCCCGUGUCCAACACUGCACUGAGGUGAAGUUAAUCUUCACCUUGCCAGAGUCCACACUCUAUCCAAGCUUGUUUUCUCCAAUGACUUCUGCCCAGUAGACAUCUGGUGAAGAAUCAUCCACUGGCAGUUCAUUUGGCAUCGGAAACGCCUGGGCAAUGAUUUGGCCCUGUGGCAUAAAGAAAGGUGAGUGGACACAACACACCAUGAGAAUGAGUGCCUCUGGCUCUGAUGUUAGGAUUGACAGAGAGAUUUCAAUCUUUUGGGGCGUGUAUAUGCAUGUCCCCAAUAGCAACAUCCUUACAGUCCAGUCUGGCAAAUAAUUCCCUGUUGGUGGAGCAGCUGGCACGACUCUCCAGUGGUUUGUUUUGAAGUGUAUGUUUUGUGUCACAACUAGCUUAAAAGGAGCUUGUGGCUUACAAACUCUCUCUGGGUCCCAAUUCUGACCUGCUUAAUUUCUUUCUACACACAAAGCAGGCCCAUGCUCCCUGUCUAGUUUUUUGGAAGUGCUUGUCCCCGUUCCCCCUGUGAUUUUACUGGUUUAUUUUGCAGAAGUUGCCUUUUUGGGCAAACUUUUGCUAUGUGUCCCUCCCGCCCACAGUUAAAAUACCAAAAAGGCUGUUGGUGUAUUUUUGGAGUAGCAGCAGCAGCUGUUCUUUCUACUCUGUCUCCUUUUCCUCGAGGCUCUGGGAUGGUGGCUCUCUUAGUGCAGGUAUUGAUGAUCAAAUCAAGAGUUGGAGGCGGUUCGCACAGCAGGCCCAAGAUGAUUUUCUUGCAGAUGUCAUUAGCAUUUGCUUGGGCCACCUCCAUUAUUAUCUGUUCCUGUAGUGGCCAACUCUUAACCUGCCUCUCCACCUCGACUGGGAGCCUUUCAACAAAAUCUUUAAAAGCCUCAAAGGGAGACUGUUUAAUAUUCACAUAACUUUUCUUAGGUUCUAUUGUGAGCAUAAGGAUAAAGGCCUUCUCGGCAGCUCUUUUUACUCAUUCUAACACAAACUGUGGUAUUUUUUCAGCUUGCAUUUUAGCAUGUGACCAAUUCUCUUCACUGCACAAGUGGUCCAUUGAGAUGUUGUUGUUAUCUGCAUCCAUGGCGCAGUCAGGGUUUUGCAAGAGCUCAGGAAGGAACAAUCUCUUCCAUAUCCUCUUCCACAACAGAUAUUCUGUUUUGGUUAGGAGACAUGCAAACAAAUCCUUGAUAUCAUCUGGAACUAGUGUGUUUGAGGAAAAGGUGGCCUUUAGAAGGCCUUUAAAAUAUUCACUUUUUCUCCCAAACUCCUUCUCAGCCUUGCCAAGUUCUUUUUCAUGUUGAUAAUUAAAAAGGUUAGGAGUUCCUCUCGUUUGUGUAUAGAUAACAGGUGCAGUGAAGGGAGUGGUCUCCUGCACCAGGUUCUGUUUUUUGGGCUCAUCGCUUCUGGUUCCAUGACAUCAUAGGAACCUGAAGCUGGAAGAGUAGGAGAGCUGCCAGAGAAGAGGUGGGAACAGGGGCAGGACAACAAGUGGAAGGGGAGGUGCUGUUUACAGGUUCGCACACAUUGGCACAACAAAACCCUCCCUCCACUGAAG